UAUUCUGUGAGAUAGACACAAAGAACUGU
rnacentral:piRNA from 1 species